rnacentral:rRNA from 1 species
GGCAGCACGGGUGCUUGCACCUGGUGGCGAGUGGCGAACGGGUGAGUAAUACAUCGGAACAUGUCCUGUAGUGGGGAAUAGCCCGGCGAAAGCCGGAUUAAUACCGCAUACGAUCUACGGAUGAAAGCGGGGGACCUUCGGGCCUCGCGCUAUAGGGUUGGCCGAUGGCUGAUUAGCUAGUUGGUGGGGUAAAGGCCUACCAAGGCGACGAUCAGUAGCUGGUCUGAGAGGACGACCAGCCACACUGGGACUGAGACACGGCCCAGACUCCUACGGGAGGCAGCAGUGGGGAAUUUUGGACAAUGGGCGAAAGCCUGAUCCAGCAAUGCCGCGUGUGUGAAGAAGGCCUUCGGGUUGUAAAGCACUUUUGUCCGGAAAGAAAUCCUUGGUUCUAAUAUAGCCGGGGGAUGACGGUACCGGAAGAAUAAGCACCGGCUAACUACGUGCCAGCAGCCGCGGUAAUACGUAGGGUGCGAGCGUUAAUCGGAAUUACUGGGCGUAAAGCGUGCGCAGGCGGUUUGCUAAGACCGAUGUGAAAUCCCCGGGCUCAACCUGGGAACUGCAUUGGUGACUGGCAGGCUAGAGUAUGGCAGAGGGGGGUAGAAUUCCACGUGUAGCAGUGAAAUGCGUAGAGAUGUGGAGGAAUACCGAUGGCGA